rnacentral:tRNA from 1 species
GGAUGUAGCUCAGUGGUGCAGCACCUGCCUGGCAAGCUUGAGGCCCUGAGUUUGAUUCUCAGCACCA